ensembl:snoRNA
AAGCAACUGAUAAAUGAAGAUGAAUUUGGGACAGAGAAGCAGGAGUAGCAAUAAAUGACUUCAAGUGGCUAAAAUUGAGACACAGGUCAUGCUUCCAUCACAGUAAACAUAUUACAGUGGUGACAAUGAGACCUGUAACAUUU